rnacentral:tRNA from 1 species
GGAGAGGUGGCUGAGUGGUCGAAAGCGGCGGUCUCGAAAACCGUUGUCCGGUACUCCCGGACCGGGGGUUCGAAUCCCCCCCUCUCCGCCA